rnacentral:rRNA from 1 species
UACGGAGGAUGCAAGCGUUAUCAGGAUUUAUUGGGUUUAAAGGGUGCGCAGGUUGUUUGAUAAGUCAGUGGUGAAAGUCUGUCGCUUAACGGUAGGAUUGCCAUUGAUACUGUUGGACUUGAAUAUGGAUGAGGUAGGCGGAAUGUGUAGUGUAGCGGUGAAAUGCAUAGAUAUUACACAGAACACCGAUUGCGAAGGCAGCUUACUAAUCCAUCAUUGACGCUGAGGCACGAAAGCGUGGGGAUCAAACA